GUGUAAAAUUAGUGUAAAUUUUGGAAAAAAAAUUGACGUUUGAUUAGUAAUUUUUCUUAUCCUACAUAAGCAAAAUUAGUAAUUUUUCUUUAAGUUUACUUAUCAGUUAUUAUUACUGUUACGCUUGAUUAAUUCAUGGGUUGAAUAAAAUAUUACUUUAAACUAAUAUGAUGGCUUGCAGAUAAGUUUGUCGCAAUGUUUGUAGAGAAAACUGGGUACCCGAUUGUUGAGCCUGCUCAUAUGGAGUUGGCAUACAAGAUGCAUUUCGUUCAUGUGUUUAAAAAGGUGCAAGUCGUGUAAGUGUGAGCCCAUUUUUUCUAUUCCCAUGGCAACAUUGGCACCAGGUAUUAUAGCAAAUACAGGAAUUAGCUUUACUUGGAAACUUUCAAUACAUAUGGAGAAGGGAAAGAGGAUAAUUUAA
rnacentral:lncRNA from 1 species